rnacentral:rRNA from 1 species
UACGUAGGGUGCGAGUGUUGUCCGGAAUUAUUGGGCGUAAAGAGCUCGUAGGCGGUGUGUCGCGUCGGCCGUGAAAACCUGGGGCUCAACUCUGGGCGUGCGGUCGAUACGGGCAUCACUUGAGUUCGGCAGGGGAGACUGGAAUUCCUGGUGUAGCGGUGAAAUGCGCAGAUAUCAGGAGGAACACCGGUGGCGAAGGCGACUCUCUGGUCUGUAACUGACGCUGAGGCGCGAAAGCGUGGGGAGCAAACAGG